rnacentral:rRNA from 1 species
AGACCCGAAACCCGGUGAUCUAGCCAUGGGCAGGUUGAAGGUUGGGUAACACUAACUGGAGGACCGAACCGACUAAUGUUGAAAAAUUAGCGGAUGACCUGUGGCUGGGGGUGAAAGGCCAAUCAAACCGGGAGAUAGCUGGUUCUCCCCGAAAGCUAUUUAGGUAGCGCCUCGUGAAUUCAUCUCCGGGGGUAGAGCACUGUUUCGGCUAGGGGGCCAUCCCGGCUUACCAACCCGAUGCAAACUGCGAAUACCGGAGAAUGUUAUCACGGGAGACACACGGCGGGUGCUAACGUCCGUCGUGAAGAGGGAAACAACCCAGACCGCCAGCUAAGGUCCCAAAGUCAUGGUUAAGUGGGAAACGAUGUGGGAAGGCCCAGACAGCCAGGAUGUUGGCUUAGAAGCAGCCAUCAUUUAAAGAAAGCGUAAUAGCUCACUGGUCGAGUCGGCCUGCGCGGAAGAUGUAACGGGGCUAAACCAUGCACCGAAGCUGCGGCAGCGACGCUGAUGCGUUGUUGGGUAGGGGAGCGUUCUGUAAGCCUGCGAAGGUGGCCUGUGAGGGUUGCUGGAGGUAUCAGAAGUGCGAAUGCUGACAUAAGUAACGAUAAAGCGGGUGAAAAGCCCGCUCGCCGGAAGACCAAGGGUUCCUGUCCAACGUUAAUCGGGGCAGGGUGAGUCGACCCCUAAGGCGAGGCCGAAAGGCGUAGUCGAUGGGAAACGGGUUAAUAUUCCCGUACUUGGUGUUACUGCGAAGGGGGGACGGAGAAGGCUAUGUUGGCCGGGCGACGGUUGUCCCGGUUUAAGCGUGUAGGCUGGUUUUCCAGGCAAAUCCGGAAAAUCAAGGCUGAGGCGUAACGACGAGGCACUACGGUGCUGAAGCAACAAAUGCCCUGCUUCCAGGAAAAGCCUCUAAGCAUCAGGUAACAUCAAAUCGUACCCCAAACCGACACAGGUGGUCAGGUAGAGAAUACCAAGGCGCUUGAGAGAACUCGGGUGAAGGAACUAGGCAAAAUGGUGCCGUAACUUCGGGAGAAGGCACGCUGACACGUAGGUGAAGUGAUUUACUCAUGGAGCUGAAGUCAGUCGAAGAUACCAGCUGGCUGCAACUGUUUAUUAAAAACACAGCACUGUGCAAACACGAAAGUGGACGUAUACGGUGUGACGCCUGCCCGGUGCCGGAAGGUUAAUUGAUGGGGUCAGCGCAAGCGAAGCUCCUGAUCGAAGCCCCGGUAAACGGCGGCCGUAACUAUAACGGUCCUAAGGUAGCGAAAUUCCUUGUCGGGUAAGUUCCGACCUGCACGAAUGGCGUAAUGAUGGCCAGGCUGUCUCCACCCGAGACUCAGUGAAAUUGAACUCGCUGUGAAGAUGCAGUGUACCCGCGGCAAGACGGAAAGACCCCGUGAACCUUUACUAUAGCUUGACACUGAACAUUGAGCCUUGAUGUGUAGGAUAGGUGGGAGGCUUUGAAGUGUGGACGCCAGUCUGCAUGGAGCCGACCUUGAAAUACCACCCUUUAAUGUUUGAUGUUCUAACGUGGACCCGUGAUCCGGGUUGCGGACAGUGUCUGGUGGGUAGUUUGACUGGGGCGGUCUCCUCCUAAAGAGUAACGGAGGAGCACGAAGGUUGGCUAAUCCUGGUCGGACAUCAGGAGGUUAGUGCAAUGGCAUAAGCCAGCUUGACUGCGAGCGUGACGGCGCGAGCAGGUGCGAAAGCAGGUCAUAGUGAUCCGGUGGUUCUGAAUGGAAGGGCCAUCGCUCAACGGAUAAAAGGUACUCCGGGGAUAACAGGCUGAUACCGCCCAAGAGUUCAUAUCGACGGCGGUGUUUGGCACCUCGAUGUCGGCUCAUCACAUCCUGGGGCUGAAGUAGGUCCCAAGGGUAUGGCUGUUCGCCAUUUAAAGUGGUACGCGAGCUGGGUUUAGAACGUCGUGAGACAGUUCGGUCCCUAUCUGCCGUGGGCGCUGGAGAACUGAGGGGGGCUGCUCCUAGUACGAGAGGACCGGAGUGGACGCAUCACUGGUGUUCGGGUUGUCAUGCCAAUGGCACUGCCCGGUAGCUAAAUGCGGAAGAGAUAAGUGCUGAAAGCAUCUAAGCACGAAACUUGCCCCGA